AUUGAACGCUAGCGGGAUGCCUUACACAUGCAAGUCGAACGGAGUGGCGAACGGAUGAGUAAUGUAUCGGAACGUGCCCAGUAGCGGGGGAUAAAUACGCGAAAGCGUAGCUAAUACCGCAUACUCUUUGUGCGGCCGAUAUCGGAGGAGCUAGUUGGUGGGGUAACGGCUCACCAAGGAGACGAUCCGUACCUGGUUUGAGAGGACGACCAGCCACACUGGGACUGAGACACGGCCCAGACUCCUACGGGAGGCAGCAGUGGGGAAUUUUGGACAAUGGGGGAAACCCUGAUCCAGCCAUCCCGCGUGUGCGAUGAAGGCCUUCGGGUUGUAAAGCACUUUUGGCAGGGAAGCGGUACCUGCAGAAUAAGCACCGGCUAACUACGUGCCAGCAGCCGCGGUAAUUC
rnacentral:rRNA from 1 species